AGUUUCUUUCCUCCCAGGCGCUAAUGGAGGAUGGGCUGACAUUACUGGUCCCGAAGACACAUCAAGAACUCUGCCCGCAGAAAAGGAAGCUGGCAUUCUGGGUGUCUGCAGGGUCCAGCCUGAGCUUGCCUGCUGGCCUUACAUAACCUGCCAGCCUACACCGCAGACACCUGAGAGCAGCCCCAGCUCCUGUGCUCGGUGCCCAGCAUGCUCGCGGCCAGCCCAGGCUCCUGCUUUCAAGAGGGGCGUGUGCGGGCAGGCCAGGCUGUGUCUCCACUCCAGCAUGGGAACACCUGCUCUAAGAGAAGUUAGCCACCACACUGUGGGGACACUCAGUUCCCCCUGCUGUGGAGAGGCCCACGGAGGACGCACUGAGGCCUCCUGCCAAGAGCCAGCACCCCUUCGCCAGGCGUGAGUGGGCCAC